AUUUCUACUUAGAGAUUGCCUCCUGUGGGAGUUUUCAGCAAGAUCUUAUCUUUGGAAAGGGACUUUCUCUUUGCUUGGACAAGUGCUUGAUUUUUGCACUAAGUAGGGAACUGUCUUAUGAAAACAGAGUAGCAAAGGACGUCCAGUACUUCACUGAAAAACGAUGGGACAGCAGUUCUGUCACGUUCUAAAGCAGCUGAGAAUUGCAUCCUUUUGCAAGAAGUGACUUACAGGUAGAGCGUUGUGCUGAUUUCCUGGUCCCUGUUCUCUUAGGACUCUCCAUACAUCUGCUCAGAAAAUGUGUGGAUGUGGCACAGAGGGACAUGGAUUUGUUGCAGACUGGGAGACAUGCAUUCUGUUUGCAAGCUGACAAAGUCUGUUCUACAUUCUGCUCCCAGCUACGUGACCAGGUUGUCUCUGUGCUAGGAAAAGAAAGCCACAAAAAUCCGACUCAAGAGCAGCAUGUAGGCUCCGUGCUCAAAGAGUUGAUAAAAACUUUUGGAUGUUAGGCUUAACACCUUCUUCACCCCAGCGGUUUCAUGCCAGCGAUAUUUCAAAGUGAUUCAAGGGCUCUUUUUUCCAGUGAACAGUGCUUAAAAGAUAGCAGGCUGCAAUGAGGAUUGUAACAGUGCUGUAACUAUUCUCAGGAAACUAUCAUUUGGGAAAGUCCUGGGAGAUAUCUUGGAGCUGUUUUGUGUUGUUCCCCAGUAAGGAGCAGAAGACACCUGCCAUUUAGUUAAAUGCCUUAUCUUGGCCUAUUUGGGAACCUCGUUUCAGAUGAAAGUGUCUAUGCUAAUCAAACAAAAUACUAUCAAAAGUGGUCCAGAUGAGAGUGAUAGCUUUAAAAAAAGCACUUUAAAAUGCUUGCGAUUUAUAGUUUUGUGUUAAAUCAGCUUAGCAUUCAUGAAAUAAAAGUGUUGACUACUUGC
rnacentral:lncRNA from 1 species